AUUGAACGCUGGCGGCAGGCCUAACACACGCAAGUCGAGCGGAUGAGAGGAGCUUGCUCCUUGAUUUAGCGGCGGACGGGUGAGUAAUGCCUAGGAAUCUGCCUGGUAGUGGGGGAUAACGUUCCGAAAGGAACGCUAAUACCGCAUACGUCCUACGGGAGAAAGCAGGGGACCUUCGGGCCUUGCGCUAUCAGAUGAGCCUAGGUCGGAUUAGCUAGUUGGUGAGGUAAUGGCUCACCAGGGCGACGAUCCGUAACUGGUCUGAGAGGAUGAUCAGUCACACUGGAACUGAGACAUGGUCCAGACUCCUACGGGAGGCAGCAGUGGGGAAUAUUGGACAAUGGGCGAAAGCCUGAUCCAGCCAUGCCGCGUGUGUGAAGAAGGUCUUCGGAUUGUAAAGCACUUUAAGUUGGGAGGAAGGGUUGUAGAUUAAUACUCUGCAGUUUUGACGUUACCGACAGAAUAAGCACCGGCUAACUUCGUGCCAGCCGCCGCAGUAA
rnacentral:rRNA from 1 species